rnacentral:rRNA from 1 species
ACGGGGCCCGCACAAGCGGAGGAACAUGUUGGUUUAAUUCGAUGAUACGCGAGGAACCUUACCUGGUUAAUGUAGGUUGCAUGGGGGGGAAACUUCCCUUUCCUUCGGGACUACUUACAAGGUGCUGCAUGGUUGUCGUCAGCUCGUGCCGUGAGGUGUCGGGUUAAGUCCCAUAACGAGCGCAACCCCUAUCGUUAGUUGCCAGCAAGUAAAGUUGGGGACUCUAGCGAGACUGCCGGUGUAAACCGUGAGGAAGGUGGGGAUGACGUCAAAUCAGCACGGCCCUUAUAUCCAGGGCUACACACGUGUUACAAUGGUCGGUACAAAGAGCAGCCACUUGGUGACAAGGCGCUAAUCUCAAAAGCCGAUCUCAGUUCGGAUCGAAGUCUGCAACUCGACUUCGUGAAGUUGGAUUCGCUAGUAAUCGCGCAUCAGCCAUGGCGCGGUGAAUACGUUCCCGGGCCUU